GGGAGGAAGGCUUGCGGGCGUGCGGACUCGGUUUCGGGCCGAGCGCUUUGAAGAAUUUUGCAGAACCCUGCUACCUACAGACUCUGCCAUGGACAUCAUGUAAAGAAACCCCGGAUGUAGUAACGGACAAAACAUGUGUCAGUUUGUGUUGUGGCAUUCAGAUCCGAGCACACUGGGAGAGAUUGUGGAAGACCUGAGGAACUUACAGAGUUUGUUUGUUUUCUGUCCACUGUGAGUCCAGAAGUGAUUCUGAAUGGAGAAGACGUAGGACCGGUCAGUGGUAGGAUGGACUGUGCUUGGAAGACAGGUACCUGGAGCUCUCAGUUUGGACUAGGCUGGCUGGCAGUAAGCCCCCAGGAUUCUCCUGUUCUCACACUAGAGGCAUCAAGUUUGUGAAGACCAUGGCCCAUCCUUAUGCAUUCAAGAGUUGAGUGUGGAUGACUUGGAGCUGAAAAACCCCUUCAGAAGCUUCAUGUGUCACGUGCAUUGAAGCUCUGCAUUAAACCCGCUCGCACAAGUAAAUGCUCAAAGGGACUGAAGGCCAUUAGUACAGUUUUUAUGUCUCUUUCUUCUACUUCAGUUUCUUUAGCCAUCAGGGUCCUUAAUGUUUCUUAUCUUACUAUAGUAAAGACUCAGAGAAAGGCUCCUUUCCAUGAAGUAGUAUGUUCUGUGGCCACACGCCUUUAUUAGUGGAGAUGGGCAUUUUCACUUGAGUCUUUUGUUACAGCCUAUUAAAAAUUUGAUUCAGUAAUGUGAAAGUGAGGAUUAAAUAUCAAAAAAUUACAAUAUUAGAGAUGUAUGUGCUUAACAUGUGCAAAGCCCCAGGUCCAGUCUGCUGCAUUGUGUGGGGUGGUUAGGGGCUGUGUGGAUGUGCAAAGCCCCAGGUCCAGUCUGCUGCACCUUUCUGCGCAUUUUAAUCCCUGGAGAUUCAUUUCAUUCCCUUCAUACCUGUGAGGAAGGAGUUAGUACUAAUAUCAAUACAUCUGGUUUAAUUGAAAUAUUUUGUGUUUCAUAAAAUAUAGAAAGCCAGGUAGCCUGUGCUACUGUCUAUCCUGAUACUUAGAACACCUAAGAAUUGUUCAACUUCAACUUAUUAGGAAAAUUAUGCUAAGUGUUUUACUUUAUUUUGGUGUGUGUGUGUGUGUGUAUGAAUAUAUGUAUAAGAGAGGGUGUGUGUGAGUGAGCCUGUGUGUGAGUGAGCAUGCUUGAGUAUGUGUGUGAGUGUGUAUGUGUGUGAGCAUGUGUGAGCCUGUUAGCAGUCAAGUGCCUGUGUGAAUGAAUGAAUGUGUAUGAGUGUGUUUAUGUGAGCCUGUCCAAGUGCAAGUGUGUGUGUGUGUGUGUGUGUGUUAUCACUCCUCAUGUGCCAUCUGUCUUUUUUGUUUGUUUGACAUAGAGUCUCUCAUUGGUCUGGAACUGGCCAGUGGCCAAGUAGACCAGGCUGGCUGGCCAGUGAGCCUCAGGGAUCUGCCUGGUUCUACCUCCCCAGCUCUGAGAUUAUAAACCCACACCAGGAUGUUAGAUCCUCUUUCUUUCAGAACACACUUUACUGACUAAGCUAACUUCUUAGCUCCCUGUGUGGUUUUGUUUUUGUUUUUGAGACUUAGGAGCUUGGUGUUCUCUAAAGGAGAAAAUGCCAGUUUCCCCUUUCUCUUAGUUGAGUUUAGGUUAAUGAUUUAAGAUGCAUGUCACUGUAAUUAGCUUGUUUAGUUGUUUCUUUGAAGACAUCAGUGGUUACCAGUAAGUAGGUGACUGCUAUAGUACUCCUGGACAGUAGGGAGUGCUUUCGUCCAGAGGGUAUACAUUCUGAUUCAUGGUGAGGAAAUGUUUAUUCAUCUUAGUGUGUAUAUAUGUGUGUGUGUGUGUGUGUGUUAUAUGUGUGCUGGUGCACUUCUCUCUCUCUUUCUGUGUGUGUGUGUGUGAGUAUGAGUGUGAGUGUGAGAGAGACCCAGCUUUAUGUGGCUGUUGAGAAUCUGAACUCAGGUCUUUGUGCUUUUAUAGCAAUCAUUGUACUGAACCAUCUCUGAAACACUUUACUUGGUGCCUUGGAAUUGUUUAAAUUUAACAGAAGGCGAUACAAAGUGUUGAUUUUUCUCCUUAUACAAAUUACAUAAAUGCAUAUAAUCCCAGUGAUGUAAAUAUUUGUCAAGAAAUGUAAAAUGUGGACAGGAGUGACGUGUUGCCUAGUCAUAACCAAGCUUCUUGCGUUGGUGGAGACAGAACGAAUUGCAUAGACUUUGAGAAUUGAGCCUGCCAGAAACAAGACAGUUGGCCUCUGAUGGAGAAGCUGGCCUCUGAUGGAGAAGCUGGCCUCUGAUGGAGAAGCUGGCCUCUGAUGGAGAAGCUUCUUACUGCCUGUGGCUGACUUUCUUCUUCCUUGACCCCUCCCCUGAACCCGAAACUCCUCACAUUGAUCUCUAUGACCUUGCAUGUAGAAAUACUAGCUACCAGUGAAAAAGCCCAAGAGACACUAAUUGGAUAUUUUGACUGUCCUUGGUCUGUACACCCUGCCCUUAUGAAUCUAGUAUCUGCCACUGGCCUUUCUUUUCUACCUUCUAAAUACCUUUAAACUCCCUCUUUCAGGUAUACCUGUACCUUACUCUGUUGUCAGAUUUCCUGAACCUCUGUAAAAGCCUCUCGAUUGGUUCUCUAUAUUUACUCUUCCUUCCCUUCUCUCAUCUCGCUGCAUUCAGAGGAAUCUUCUUUUUGAUCCUCUGAUUUAAGUUCUUGAUGUUUUAUUGCCUCAGUCUGUUAAGCAACAGCAGCAGUGUCCCCUAUUCCACUUUUCCCCCUUGUGUCUCUGAUGGUUUCAAUAAGAAAGGACCCUCGUAUGCACUGUUUAGGGCGUGCAGUCUUGCUGGGGGAAAGUGUGUCACUGGGGGAAGCAUUUGAGAGCUUAAGGCUCCAUCCUACUUCAAGUUUGCUCUCAGCUUGGACUAGUGGUUAAGAUGAGAGAUGCUAGCUUCUUUUUUCCUGCCUCUGCUGCCAUGCCCUUCCAUAAUGGACUCUUAGCCCUUUGGAAAUGUAAGCCCAAAUAAACUCUUUCUUUUUU
rnacentral:lncRNA from 1 species